rnacentral:rRNA from 1 species
UGCGUAGGCGGCCUUGUAAGUCAGAAGUGAAAGGCUACGGCUCAACCGUAGUAAGCUUUUGAAACUGCAGGGCUUGAGUGCAGGAGAGGAGAGUAGAAUUCCUAGUGUAGCGGUGAAAUGCGUAGAUAUUAGGAGGAAUACCAGUUGCGAAGGCGGCUCUCUGGACUGUAACUGACGCUGAGGCACGAAAGCGUGGGGAGCGAACA